UGACAUGGCUUCAGGUUAUUUCCAUUAUGUUAAACUCACAGCUCUGGAUUCUCUGCAUCAGAACUAAAGCUGUGUGUCUUACAGUAUGUGGAAAUCCUCCCGUGAUUUGUUGUAUUAUACAACUAUGGGACAGGGGUCUCGUGGAUGGCAAGAGCUGGCUUCCUGUUCUCUCUGGAGCCCAAUGAGGAGCCAACUACCUUAGUCAUGGUGUUUGAGCACACUAAUACCACCCUCCUCUCUGUAGACGGGACUCUAGGAUCCACUGGAUGGGAAUCUGUCGCGUUUCUGGACAACAGGACAAUUCAUUUCAAGCCAUGUCUCAGUCCCCAAGGACCUAGCUGACCUUAGAAGCAGCAAAAUAUUAUCCUUUUUAAAUUCCUCUAACCACAUUAAUACUGACCUUUGUACAUGAUUAUUGAAAACCCAGGAGAUCAGUUACACUUA